GAUACAUUGUGCUGUGUGUGCUUCGAAUAGCACAAUGGAAAGGUGGCACUCACCAGAGAUGCCAUCCCCACACUGGUGGAUUGCGACAACCCGCCACCACUUGCCUCCCCACCUCUUAAAAGGCGGAGAAAAAAAAAGAAGGUAACAUAACUGAGACCAAGACCAACAUACAAAUAAUUAAGACAGUCCCCUGAAAUAACAUUUACAUACAUUACAUUGAAUGAAUUAACUUUAACUGAUCCUUUGAUAUUGACUGAUUCAAUCCUCAAAAGCUAAGCAGAGUCAAUCUGAGGAAGAAGACAGGUAUAUAGACACAGAGGGAGGGACAGAGAAAAGCACAGAGGAGACAGCAGAAAUUAUACCGGAAAGGACAGAGGAGACUCUAGAGACAACAGUUGAAAUGGAGGAAAGGACAGAGGAGAGCGCAGAAGGGACAGUAGAGUCAAAUGGAGGCAACAAAGAACAGGCUGAGGCUCAGGUGACAAUUCUGCACAACAGUCUCCAAAAGAAGGACCAGAGAAUAAAACAACUACAGGCACGCCUUGCAAGGCUGCAAAGGCUAAGACGCAGGAAAAGGAAGCCAGCUGCCAUGCCAAAAAAAUCCAAUCCCCAUGAAAUUAUGGAGGAGAUGCUCCAGAGGUGUCCUGAGGGCUGCCGGAACUUCAUUAGGGCACAACUGUCAGAGGCAGGGAAAAAGGACAGAGGGAGACGGU